rnacentral:rRNA from 1 species
UGUCUCCUAAAUAGAGACCAGUAUGAACGGCUAAAUGAAAAUAAAACUGUCUCCUUUAGUUAAUCAGUGAAACUGAUCUUCCAGUACAAAAGCUGGAAUAAUCCCAUAAGACGAGAAGACCCUGUGGAGCUUUAAAUUUUAACCAAAAUAUUUUAACCCUGAUAAAUAUGGGACUUAAUUUUAAGUUGGGGCAACUUCGGAAAAAAAACAAACUUCCGAGCAUAAAAGAUAAUAUCUUAACUUAGGCCCACCAGCCAAAACAAACCUUGACCCAGUAUUACUGAUCAACGAACCAAGUUACCCCAGGGAUAACAGCGCCAUCUUCUUCAAGAGUCCCUAUCGACAAGAAGGUUUACGACCUCGAUGUUGGAUCAGGACACCCAAAUGGUGAAGCCGCUAUUAAAGGUUCGUUUGUUCAACGAUUAACAGU